GAUGAACGCUGGCGGCGUGCCUAAUACAUGCAAGUCGAGCGAACGGACGAGAAGCUUGCUUCUCUGAUGUUAGCGGCGGACGGGUGAGUAACACGUGGAUAACCUACCUAUAAGACUGGGAUAACUUCGGGAAACCGGAGCUAAUACCGGAUGAUAUUUUGAACCGCAUGGUUCAAAAGUGAAAGACGGUCUUGCUGUCACUUAUAGAUGGAUCCGGGCUGCAUUAGCUAGUUGGUAAGGUAACGGCUUACCAAGGCAACGAUGCAUAGCCGACCUGAGAGGGUGAUCGGCCACCCUGAAACUGAGACACGGUCCAGACUCCUACGGGAGGCAGCAGUAGGGAAUCUUCCGCAAUGGGCGAAAGCCUGACGGAGCAACGCCGCGUGAGUGAUGAAGGUCUUCGGAUCGUAAAACUCUGUUAUUAGGGAAGAACAUAUGUGUAAGUAACUGUGCACAUCUUGACGUUACCUAAUCAGAAAGCCACGGCUAACUACGU
rnacentral:rRNA from 1 species